rnacentral:rRNA from 1 species
GACGAACGCUGGCGGCGUGCCUAAUACAUGCAAGUUGAGCGAUGAAGAUUGGUGCUUGCACCAAUUUGAAGAGCAGCGAACGGGUGAGUAACGCGUGGGGAAUCUGCCUUUGAGCGGGGGACAACAUUUGGAAACGAAUGCUAAUACCGCAUAACAACUUUAAACAUAAGUUUUAAGUUUGAAAGAUGCAAUUGCAUCACUCAAAGAUGAUCCCGCGUUGUAUUAGCUAGUUGGUGAGGUAAAGGCUCACCAAGGCGAUGAUACAUAGCCGACCUGAGAGGGUGAUCGGCCACAGUGGGACUGAGACACGGCCCAAACUCCUACGGGAGGCAGCAGUAGGGAAUCUUCGGCAAUGGACGAAAGUCUGACCGAGCAACGCCGCGUGAGUGAAGAAGGUUUUCGGAUCGUAAAACUCUGUUGGUAGAGAAGAACGUUGGUGAGAGUGGAAAGCUCAUCAAGUGACGGUAACUACACAGAAAGGGACGGCUAACUACGUG